rfam:Picea glauca, whole genome shotgun sequence.
CAUCACUUGGACAUGGUUGGUUAGUCGAUCCUAAGAGAUGGGGAAUCCGUGUAUCAAGUGUGCACUCUGCAUGAACAUCGAAAGAGAAUUGGGUUAAUAUUCCUGAACCGGGACAUGGUGGUGGAUGACAAUGUUAGGAAAUCUGGAGAUGUCAUCGGGGGCCUGGGAAGAGUUAUCUUUUAUUUUUAAUAACUUUCCCACCCUGAAAUCGGUUCAACCAGAGAUAGGGUCCAACAUUUGAAAGAGCACCACACAUCUUGUGGUGUUUGCUUCCCCCUUGAUAUCCAUUGUAAAUAUGGUGAGCCGAGUACCAUCCAUGCCUGAUUGCACUCAUAUCUACCUCCUUGGGUUUUUCAAUGUCCACUAGGUUAGCGAUCUUG